rnacentral:rRNA from 1 species
UGGGUCCUUGAGGACUUAGUGACGCAGCUAACGCAAUAAGUAGACCGCCUGGGGAGUACGGCCGCAAGGUUAAAACUCAAAUGAAUUGACGGGGGCCCGCACAAGCGGUGGAGCAUGUGGUUUAAUUCGAUGCAACGCGAAGAACCUUACCUGGUCUUGACAUAUCUAGAAUCCUGCAGAGAUGCGGGAGUGCCUUCGGGAAUUAGAAUACAGGUGCUGCAUGGCUGUCGUCAGCUCGUGUCGUGAGAUGUUGGGUUAAGUCCCGCAACGAGCGCAACCCUUGUCCUUAGUUACCAGCGGUUUGGCCGGGAACUCUAAGGAUACUGCCAGUGACAAACUGGAGGAAGGCGGGGACGACGUCAAGUCAUCAUGGCCCUUACGACCAGGGCUACACACGUGCUACAAUGGUAGGUACAGAGGGCAGCUACACAGCGAUGUGAUGCGAAUCUCAAAAAGCCUAUCGUAGUCCAGAUUGGAGUCUGCAACUCGACUCCAUGAAGUAGGAAUCGCUAGUAAUCGCGGAUCAGAAUGCCGCGGUGAAUACGUUCCCGGGCCUUGUACACACCGCC